rnacentral:tRNA from 1 species
GCCCCCAUCGUCUAGCCGGGCCCAGGACGUCGGCCUUUCAAGCCGGUAACGCGGGUUCGAAUCCCGCUGGGGGCACCA